rnacentral:lncRNA from 1 species
CACUGGAUUGACUAAAUCUAUGUUCUCAGCCUCGAAGACCCUCACCGCUGGAGCUGGUAUGACUCCCUCUCUGCUAGAGCCACCCCCUUGAUUGAUCCACCUAGACUGAAAGAAUGCUCCAAUAUCCAUUUGAUAGUGUUGGGAUCCUCAGUCAUCUGCCCACUACUGUCCCUGAUCAUACAAAUCCUGUCCCUCUGCCUUCGGAUGAUGGUCGACUGAUAGAAAAACCUCAUGUUUUGGUCCCUUUCUCUGAUCCACUGAAUGCGAGACUUCUGUCUCUAGAAGACCUGCUGCUGUUUCAGGAGUGAGUGAUGUCUGGAUAGAGUGGCUCUAAGCUCCACCUGCUCUUCAUUGGACAGGCUGCCCUGUCGCUCCUCUAGAGACUGUAGCU